ensembl:lncRNA
AUGGAUGCAGGGACACACGGACAUUGGCCAUAUGGACAUGGGGACAAACGGACACAUGGACAUAGAGGCACAAGGACAUGGGGACAUUGGCGAUGUAGACAUUGGUACACAUGGACACACGGACAUGGGGAACACGGACAUUAGGACAUUGGCCAUAUGGACAUGGGGACAGACAGACAUGGGGACACAGGGACACAGACACAUGGACAUUGGGACACAUGGACACAGACAUGGAGACAGAAGGACAUUGGGACAUGGGGCCAUCUGGACAUGGGGACACUGGCUUUAUGGACAUGGGGACACACAGACAUGGGGACACACGGACAUGGGGACACAUGGAUGCAGGGACAUACGGACAUUGGCCAUAUAGACAUGGGGACACAGGGACAUGAGGACAAACGGACAUGGGGACGCACAGACAUGGGGACAGACGGACAUGGGGACAUUGGCUUUAUGGACAUGGGGACACACGGACAUGGGGACACACGGACAUCGGGACAUGGGGACACAUGGAUGCGGGGAUACAUGGACAUUGGCCAUAUGGACAUGGAGACACACGGACACAUGGACAUAAUGGACAUUGGGACACAGCGACAGACAGACACAUGGACACAUGGCCAUGGGGACACAGGGACAUGGGGACAUGGGCCCUAUGGACAUUGGGACACAUGGACACACAGACAAGGGGACACAUAGACAUGGGGACAGAUGGACAUGGAUGGACACAGGGACAGGGACACACGGGGGGGACGGACGGACAGACGGACACGGGACAGACAGAUGGACACGGAUGGACACAGGGACAGGGACACACGGCGGGACGGACGGACAGAUGGACACAGACGGACACGGAUGGACAUGGGGACAAUGGACAGGGGACACACAGGGGACUGACAGACAUGGGACAGACAGAUGGACACGGAUGGACAGGGGACACACGGGGGAUGGACAGAUGGACAUGGAUGGACAGGGGACAGACGGGGACUGAUGGACAUGGGACAGACAGAUGGACACAGGGACACGUGGGGGGACGGACGGACAGACGGACACGGAUGGACACAGGGACACACGAGGGUCGGACAGAUGGACACGGAUGGACACAGGGACAGGGGACGGACAGAUGGACACGGAUGGACACAGGGACAGGGGACGGACAGAUGGACAUGGAUGGACACAGGGACAGGGGACAGACAGAUGGACAGGGGACAGACGGGACAACGGACAGGGGGACAGAUGGAUGGGGGGACAACGGGGGGACAGACGGACACACGGGUCUGUGCGUGAGGGGGACACGGAGAUGGACAGAGAGGACAGAGAGGGGACAAUGGACAGAGGGACACAGGGAUGGACAGGGGACAGGCAGGGGACAAUGGACGGGGGGGAUAGAGGGGGGGACAGACGGACAGUAGGGACAGAAGGACAGCGGGGGCAGGGGACAGAGGGAUGAUUGACAGGGGGACAGACAGACAGAGGGGACACCGAGGGACAGAUGGACGUAGUUACACUGAGGGACAGACGGACGUGGGGACAGCGGGCAGGAGGUGACAGAGGGGAGGGGACAGAUGGCUACGAGUCACUGUGGCAGGACGGACAGACGGACAGGGAUGGACAAUGGGGGGCACAGACAGACGGACAGAGCGGGGCACGGACAGACAGGGAUGGACAGAUGGACAGGGAUGGACAGUGGUGGGGACAGAUGGAUUGGGGGGAGGGUUGGAUGGCAGACAGACAGACAGACAUGGGGGGGGGAUGGAUGGAUGGAUGGACACGGGGAGGACAUGGACAGACAGACACAGGGAGGACAUGGACAGACGGACACAGGGAGGACAUGGACAGACAGACAUGGCAGGGGAUACAGAUGGACGGACGGACACAUGGGGGAACAUGGAUGGACAGACAGACACGGCGAGACAUGGAUGGACAGACAGACGGGGGGGAAUGGACAGACGGACAUGGGGAGGGGACAUGGAUGGACAGAUGGACACAGGGGGACAUGGAUGGACAGACGGACACGGCGGUGGGGGGAUGACACAGACAGACACAGGAGGCGGGACACGGACGGACAGACAGACACGGACAG